rnacentral:rRNA from 1 species
UACAGAGGUCCCGAGCGUUGUUCGGAUUCAUUGGGCGUAAAGGGUGCGUAGGCGGCUUCCUAAGUUUGAUGUGAAAUCCCGGGGCUCAACCCUGGAAUGGCAUUGAAGUACUGGGAGGCUAGAGUACUGGGAGAGGAAACUGGAAUUUACGGUGUAGCAGUGAAAUGCGUAGAGAUCGUAAGGAAGACCAGUGGCGAAGGCGAGUUUCUGG